UACGGGGGGAGCAAGCGUUGUUCGGAUUUACUGGGCGUAAAGGGCGCGUAGGCGGUCAGCACAAGUCAGUUGUGAAAUCUCCGGGCUUAACUCGGAAAGGUCAACUGAUACUGUGCGACUAGAGUGCAGAAGGGGCAACUGGAAUUCUCGGUGUAGCGGUGAAAUGCGUAGAUAUCGUAAGGAAGACCAGUGGUGAAGGCGGGUCUCUGGACAGUUCCUGACGCUGAGGCACGAAGGUCAGGGGAGCAAACGGG
rnacentral:rRNA from 1 species